rnacentral:rRNA from 1 species
UGGGGAAUAUUGCACAAUGGGCGCAAGCCUGAUGCAGCCAUGCCGCGUGUGUGAAGAAGGCCUUCGGGUUGUAAAGCACUUUCAGCGAGGAGGAAGGGUAGUGUGUUAAUAGCACAUUGCAUUGACGUUACUCGCAGAAGAAGCACCGGCUAACUCCGUGCCAGCAGCCGCGGUAAUACGGAGGGUGCAAGCGUUAAUCGGAAUUACUGGGCGUAAAGCGCACGCAGGCGGUUUCGUUAAGUCAGAUGU